rnacentral:rRNA from 1 species
GAUUUUAUUUGGAUGCUAAGAGAAUGGAAACCCAGAAAAAAACUUUUUUUAAAUUAAAAAUUGAAAUUUUUUUAAUUUGUGCAGAAACAAUUAUUAAUAUUAAGGACAAGAAGACCCUAUGAAUUUAUAAAAUUCUAUUCAAUAUGUUAUUGCUGUUGUAGAAUUUUUGGCUGGGGCGGCUAAAAAAUAUUUUAAACUUUUUAAAAGUAAAAUGAUCCAUUAUUAAUGAUUACAUGUGAAAUACUCUAGGGAUAACAGCGUAA